rnacentral:misc_RNA from 1 species
CUGCCUUAAUCUCACCUUAUCUAAACUCCAACCACAACCUUCAAUACACACAUCAUCUCCUCCUUCCACAUCACUUUUUAUCAAAUAUAUUCACACCAAUCUUACCAUUAGACUCAUCAUCUUUGUUAAGGGGAAAAAAAGAGAGAGAAAUUUAGAUAUUUUUUUCAGCAAUGGCAGCCAUGAACUCUAGUGUUUUGGCAUGCAAUUAUGCCAUUUCAGGCACUGGAUCUGGGUCAUCUGAGCUUGGCUCAAAGCUUGCUUCAAUACCUGCAGGUGUUUCCUCUGGCCCCAAGUUGCCUGUGAUCAGAGCCCAGAAAGCUAGAGCUUCUUCUGAAUCCAAAAGUGAGGGAAGGAGAGCUGCUAUGCUUUGUCUUGCAGCUACCGUUUUCACCUCUGCUGCUGCUGCUUCCUCUGCCAAUGCUGGAGUCAUUGAAGAAUACCUUGAAAAGAGCAAGGCUAACAAGGAACUGAACGACAAAAAGAGGUUGGCCACAAGUGGUGCAAAUUUUGCAAGAGCAUACACAGUGGAAUUUGGUUCAUGCCAGUUCCCUGAGAAUUUCACUGGCUGCCAAGAUCUUGCCAAGCAAAAGAAAGUGCCUUUUCUCUCUGAAGAUUUGGCUUUGGAGUGUGAAGGGAAGGACAAAUACAAGUGUGGCUCUAAUGUUUUCUGGAAAUGGUGAAGUGGUCAAGGUUUCUCUUCAAAUUUCCCCUUUUCCAACAUGUAUCUAGAUCAUCCAAGAAUUAAACUUUACAUCCAUUAGAACUCUAAUUUUCUUUUCAUAAUUUGUUCCCGUCUUUUAUUUUUUAUUUUUUUAUUUAACUUAAGUUGAUAUUUAGAACGCAAGAACAAUCCCAUCUAAAGAGAAUGCGAGAACAGGAUAUUGAAUGAUCAUCCCAACUUUAAACCUGAUUCAUGGCUACAUUUGUUUGUUUUCCAACCUAAACUUAAAUUUGGAUUUUGCUUUGUUUGUUUUCCAACCUCAACUUAAAUUUGGAUUUUGUUUGUACUUAACUGAGCCCUAAUUCCAAUCUGGUUGGACUGCUGAAGUUUGUUUCAACAUAACUUUGAUAUAUCUUCUUGCAAGGUUCCAUUUCUCUAAUGUGGUUGCUUUUUGUUCUUGAACUUAUCAUCAUUUCUUCCCUUGUCUAAUUCACAUUCACUUUUGACAACGCUCUGUUGUCUUGUGAACAGAGCAUUCUCUCGCCUAUCCAUAAAAAUUUCUGCUUUGGAUUGAUAAGGCUGGAUACAUGGCCAUUCAUGAUCACCUUAGGCUCUAACAAGUAUAGGCCAGCUCCCUGGAGCUUUCCUUAAAAGCAAAGUUCCAUUUUUCUAUGACUAGAACCAGCUCCCUUAUCACAAGAAUACUUAAGAGUUGAUGGGUAGUUUUAGCCUAACUCUUCUUUCAAGUGUUCAUGAUAGUGCAUCAUACAUAGAGGAACCUUUUAGGAUUUCUGAAGCACUUCAAUAUCAUAGCACAGAAAGAAAAUAUUUACAUUUGCAAUGGCAUUGAAAAAAAGCCAUGGACUAAAGAAGGUAAUAUUUUCUACAAAUAAUGGUCACAAACUUAGGAUAGAAGUUUUCUUAUGUACUUCAACAAUUCCAAGUAUGAGUUAAAUUUUCCUCUAUAUGCCUAUGGGUUUCUGCAUUGAAAAUGAUAAAGUAAAUCAAAAUAAACCAUGUUAAAAUUUUAGAACAUUGCACAUCAUUCUAAAUGAACUUUAUGGUGUUGUGUACUUCGCAUAUCCUUGAACCUUCUGUUUAAACAUGCCCAUUUUCUGAACCAUGUGAAUGAAUAUUUGAAGUCAUUUCAGAUUGUAUUGCAUUACAGGCUGUGCAGUUGCUUGCUAGGGGGUUUUUCCCUAGUUUAGGAUAUGAAUUAGUCACUUUGAUAUUUAAUCAUUUAUACCACUUGAUAAAAUGUAGGUUGAGAACCCUUGCUCAAUAAAGUCAUCAAAGUGAAUGAUGCUUAUUAACUAUGAAAGUUAUUUUCAGUGUUCUAAGUGUUGAAAAACAGCAUCAAUUUAUCGUAAGCAUGAUAGCUUUAUUCUCUUUUUCCCUUUAAUAUAAACCUCAUUUACUCUCAACUCAAAUUGCUUGUCUUAAAUCUUUGUUUCUGUAGUUGGUGAUUAAACAUUCUUUCAGUUUGACUCUUUCUCCUUUCAGACCUUGAUCUGUAUUAUGUACUUUCUAUGUGAAGAGGUACCUUGCUGAUUCAUUUGCUAAAAGAGGAGACAGCUUAUUGAUCAAAUUUCUUUUGAGAAAAGGCGGACUGUUGAUUUUCACAACUUGAUAAUGGAUAUUUGGAUUUGGUUUUAUUAGUUUGCAUUCUUUGAUUCUUAAUGCCAAACACUGAAGUGUUCCUUUUUUACAUGUAGCUUCCACGGAUUCGUUUCUUGUUGUCCAGAAUGAUGGUGAGGAUCCACUGAAAGUGAAUAUUACAAUCGUAGAUAUUGAGAUUGCUAUCCCAGAGAUACAAGUACCUAAACACAAAGCCAAAAAGAUCAAAAUCAUGGCAAACAUUGAAGGAAGUCCAUCUAUAAUAAUAAAAUCUGGAAUUGGGAAAUGUACAAUUCCCAUUGGAUCAAAGAAACAAAGUAGUGGAUUUUAUAAGCAGUUAGCCACCCAUUUAUCCCCCAUCUAUGGGGCCUACCUAUUGUUUUUUACAUUUCUGAUUGUUGGAACGGUAUGGGUUUGUUGUAAGAUUGGGAAAAAUGAAUGGCAUGAUGGUGGAGUCCGGUAUCAAGAACUAGAAAUGGGGCAACCGGAAUCCCACUUGGCUAAUGAUGUGGAAAUGGCAGUCGGAUGGAAUGAAGGUUGGGAUGAUGACUGGGUUGAGCAACAGGAAGUGAAAUCACCGGAUGAACAUCUAACAGAAAAUGUUGCAACCAAUGGACAUAAUUCCACAAGUUCUGAUAAAGAUGGAUGGGGAAAUGACUGGGAUGAUUAGAGCAAGAAUAAGAUUGGAACCCUUGGAUUAGAAAGAUGACAAGGAGGAAACAGAAACAACAAAAAGGUUAAACAAAAGAAAGAAACAAAAAGGAAGAUCAAUAGAUGUAGAAAGGAAUGGAAACUGCGGCAGGAUGUAGAUGUAAAAUUGAGUUUUUAUUAUUUCUAUGUUUAAGCUAAUGUGGAAAGCAGGUUGAGAUAUAUAUAAUGUCAUAUUGGAAACAAUUUUGGUACGUCAAACAAGUUUGUUACUCUUUGAAAUUUGCAGGCUUGUUUCACCUGAAUUAUAUUAUAUGCAAGAAUUAGGUUACCAAUUCAC